AGUGAACGCUGGCGGUAGGCCUAACACAUGCAAGUCGAACGGCAGCACAGUAAGAGCUUGCUCUUACGGGUGGCGAGUGGCGGACGGGUGAGGAAUACAUCGGAAUCUACUUUUUCGUGGGGGAUAACGUAGGGAAACUUACGCUAAUACCGCAUACGACCUACGGGUGAAAGCAGUGGAUCUUCGGACCUUGCGCGAUUGAAUGGGCCGAUUUCGGAUUAGCUAGUUGGCGGGGUAAAGGCCCACCAAGGCGACGAUCCGUAGCUGGUCUGAGAGGAUGAUCAGCCACACUGGAACUGAGACACGGUCCAGACUCCUACGGGAGGCAGCAGUGGGGAAUAUUGGACAAUGGGCGCAAGCCUGAUCCAGCCAUACCGCGUGGGUGAAGAAGGCCUUCGGGUUGUAAAGCCCUUUUGUUGGGAAAGAAAAGCAGCAGGUUAAUACCCCGCUGUUCUGACGGUACCCAAAGAAUAAGCACCGGCUAACUUCGUG
rnacentral:rRNA from 1 species